GACGAACGCUGGCGGCGUGCUUAACACAUGCAAGUCGAGCGGUAAGGCCUUUCGGGGGUACACGAGCGGCGAACGGGUGAGUAACACGUGGGUGACCUGCCCUCAGCUCUGGGAUAAGCCUGGGAAACUGGGUCUAAUACCGGAUAUGACUCCAUGACGCAUGUUGUGGGGUGGAAAGCCUUGUGCGGCUGAGGAUGGGCCCGCGGCCUAUCAGCUUGUUGGUGGGGUGAUGGCCUACCAAGGCGACGACGGGUAGCCGGCCUGAGAGGGCGACCGGCCACACUGGGACUGAGACACGGCCCAGACUCCUACGGGAGGCAGCAGUGGGGAAUCUUGCGCAAUGGGCGAAAGCCUGACGCAGCGACGCCGCGUGAGGGAUGACGGCCU
rnacentral:rRNA from 1 species